AUGUCGUCUCGAUCCCUUGCCCGCCGCCGUCGUCGCACACCAUCUCCUCUGUCGUCACGAUCCCUUGCCCGCCGCCGACGCAGCAGACCUCUGGUGCCGCGUGCCACCCUGCCGGACAACGACGAUCUCCUCGAGGAGAUCCUUCUCCGUCUCCGGCCGUCGCCGUCCUCCCUGCCACGCGCCUCCGCAGUCUGCAAGCGGUGGCGGCGCCUCGCCGCCGACCCCAGGUUCCUCGACCGUUUCUGUGCGCACCACCGGAAGCCGCCGCUCCUUGGAUUCUUUGAAGAGAUCGUCGUAUGGACCCCCAUGACCGGCGAGCAGCGAUGCUUGGCCGUUCCUGCAUUGUUCAAGAGGAGCUUCCUCAAUGGGGCGGUGCUCUGCACCAACAAGGGCCACGUCCAUGGUGCCUGCCAGUUCAGCCACUUCAAGGUGGUCUUGGUGUGCAAGGACAGAAAGGAAAAGAAGCUCCUUGCUUCUGUUUACUCCUCGGAUACCGGUGUAUGGGACGAUCUUAUCUCAAUAGAGGUUCCAUCUCAUAUCCGUGACACAUGCACUCAUGGGUCUCUUGUUGGUAAUGUGCUUUAUUGGUUGUUGUCUAUCAGGGAUGGCAUACUUAAGUUCGAUCUGGAUAGGCAAAACCUAACUCUGAUUAAGGGGCCUCCCGUUGCAAAUAAUUUUUGCCGUGACAACCGCCAGAUCAUUCAAACAGAGAAUGGUGUUCUUGGCCUUGCCACAUUGUCUUAUCCUCGCUUCAAAAUGUGGCAGAGGAAUACCGUUGAUAUGGGUACCAUUCUUGGGCUGCCUCCUCAGACUGAGGGAGGAGGGACGCAAAAAAUAUUGGCAUACUCUGAAGACAUUGAUGCAAUUUUUAUAUGCGUGGACAACAAUGUAUACAUGGUUCAACUUAAGUCGAUGCAAUCCAAAAGACUUCAUGAAUCAUGUCAUAUCAAUAACUACCAUCCUUUCACAAGUUUCUACACACCUGGUGAUUACUCAUGCUUAGUCUUUAUAUUGUAG
rnacentral:rRNA from 1 species